rnacentral:tRNA from 1 species
UUCUGGAAAAAUGCUGCUUCAAAUUGAACGUCCACACUUAUCGGUUGUUGGAACAAGCCAGGUGGCCUGCUGAGUGACAGCGGGCUGCAUGGAAUGGGUCUGUAGUCAGCUGGUUAGAGCACUGUGUUGAUAACGCAGGGGUCGUUGUUCGAGCCCAACUAGACCCACCAAGAUUCCAAUAUCUGGUUCGAGGAUCCCGGGGGAUUAGCUCAGCUGGGAGAGCACCUGCUUUGCAAGCAGGGGGUCGUCGGUUCGAUCCCGUCAUCCUCCACCAAAAAUGAUAGCGCCGAAAGGUGCUAUAAUCGUUGGCUCAGCAGAUGUGAAGCGCAAGCGGAUCGGAAGCGGAAAAACCAAAUUCAAUAUAAAAGCAGUCUGCCUCAGACUGCUUUUAUAUUGAUCUUUGAUCAAUAGGCUGUUCUUUAAAAAUUCAUAGAGUCGAAAUCAGCGUUGCUGGUGGAAAGCACAAACCAAGGUUUGUGCACCGUGCCGCCAGCAACAUUUUGAUUGCGUCAAAACAGAUAUUUUGCGAAUGCAAAUUUAUCUAGUAAUGACGAAUAUUCUCUAAGCUGUAUCGAAAGAUGCAGCCAAAGAUAUUCACAUUACGGCAUAACGCGUGAGGUGCAAGACCUCACCAGUCUUUGAACACCAGGCUUUGAUUCUCGCUAAGAGAAUCCAAAGUUAUAGGGUCAAGUGACUAAGAGCAUAUGGUGGAUGCCUUGGCGAUGAUAGGCGACGAAAGACGUGAUAGC